rnacentral:lncRNA from 1 species
UCUUCACGUAGUAGCAUCCAUCAGCGGUGGCAUCUGGCUCCAAAGAUCCACCAUCUAGUUGCAUCAACCAGAAAGAAGAAAGAAGGGGGAAAGGGGUAGCAAAGCAACCGUGAGUACUCGUCCAAAGUACUCGCAAGCAUCAGAUCUAUACUAAGUAUGCACAGGUAUCAAAUGGAAGGUUUGUAUCUGUGGACUGAACUGCAGAAUGCCAGAAUAGAGGGGAGGGCCUAGCCUAUCGAAGACUGGCAUCUUCAAGCAGCUUCAAGCAUCUUGCAGCAUGUAGAAGAGUAAAGAAUAGCAGUUUAUAAUUAACAAACAUGUUGUAACAUUAACGCCCAGAGAUCCUUCCUCGACUCCCUGUGAGAAAGCAAUCCCGGAGCCACAUACUCAAGUAUCAAUUUGUAGUUGUAUAAGAUCAGGAUAUAAGUCUGAACGUCCAUUACCGUGGACACGGUAUUCGAAUAUAUAACUUCCCUGCAGGGGUGCACCACGUUACCCAACACGCUCGAUCACUCUGGCCGGACACACCUUUCUGGGGUCAAUGCCCGCCCUAGGAAGAUCAACACGUCGCAGCCCUACCUAGGCUCAGCAGAGAGGUCCCCGCCGGUCUACAUCCUAAGCACUCCGGGGUCUUGGGCCCAUCGCCCGUAGCACUCCGAGUCGUUGUGAGCAGGGUGGAUACCAGCACCUCCUCGGAUGGCCAGCACGAUCCGACCGUGCCACACUGCUGAACUGGACGUCUGACAAAGCUUUAGCUGAUACUGCGACGUCGAGGCCCAUAUCUAUUCUCGCAUGGUGGUUAGUGCGUAAAGACCACAGGCCAACUCAGAACAAAUACCCAAACCAUAGUGUAUUAUUAGCUUGCGGAGACGAGCAGAGACUCACGAUCAAAAGUGACCCUGUCGCCCCGUCUCGUGGACUUACGACAAGGGCCUAGAAUCACGCACGGAGGAUUCCACUCGAUGUAAUCAUCAAGGUGAACGUAAGAGGGACCACCCUCGAGGUUCACACUUGAGGUGUUAAACGAUAGAGCCGUAUCGGGAAUGGUGAAAGAGGAAAUCACCCUCGAUGACCAGGACCGAAUAGCUACACUACAGAAUUAUCAUUAGGAGUGUGUUAUGAGGGAUCACUCUCGGCACUCGACAGUAGCUCUGCAGAGUCGAGCAACAAAAGGGGCGUGAUGUGAUGUGAGGUGUCGGGCUCUAGUCAUCGAUCACACUGAUCGAGUCGUCGAUGAUGAAGCAGGGGCAACAAGGACAAGGUGGGGGUCACCGAUGGAUCACUAACCAACCUAUACUAAGCAGUUUAGGAUAAGCAGGUAGGUAACAAUAGCAGGUACAAAAGCAGGCUAUGCAUCAGAAUAGGAGCAAACAAUAACAGUAGCAAAAUCUAAUGCAAGCAUGAGAGUAUAGAAUGGGCGAUAUCGGGAUGAUCAAAGGGGGGGCUUGCCUGGUUGCUCAGACAAGGAGGGUCGUCGUCGACGUAGUCGAUCACAGGGGCAUCAGCAGCGGUCUCGGGGUCUACCGGAGAGAAGAAGGGGAAGAAACAGUAAAUACAUAGCAGGCAAGUGCAUAACAAGACAAUAAGCGGGGCUAGAAGUGUUCUAACGCCACGGUAGGCGGUACUGGCGAAGGGGGAAACAUCCGGGAAUGUUUUCCCGGUUCCGGACGUCUAUCAGACAGAUGAACCGGAGGGGAAAGGUUGCAUGUUCGCUAUGCUAGGGACGUGUGGCUGGCAAACAGACCGCGUAUUCAGAUUCGUCUCAUCGUUUUGAGCAACUAUCAUGUAGAAAACAUUUUCAUCCGAGUUACAGAUUAUCUUAAAUUAAAUUUCUAAGUUUAACACAUUUUCCCGAAAUUCUGGAUUUAUUACAAUUCAAAAAUAAACUUAGGAUAUACUUAUUAUACCUACUAUGGGGUAGCCAUAGUGGAUGAUAGGUGGGACCAGGGGGGUCCAGUUGACUCAGUCAAUAGUCCAUAGUCAACUGUUUGACUAUUGACUGGUCAAAACUGCCGCUAGGGCCCAGGUGUCAUUCUCACAUAUUCAACAUUUUCUUUUUAAGUGGAUAUAGACUAGUAUUUUAAUAGGUUUAUUUAACUCGCCAAAUUAGCAAUGGGGACCCACAAGUCAUCUGGACAUAGACUAAUCUAGCCACUAAUUAAUCCUUCUAGCUAAACCUAGUACUAACAAGGGUCGGCCACUACUGGGCAGAACCCAGCCGGCCACUCGCACAGACACACACACAACACACAACACAGGGAGAAGUUAAAUCUGUUCUCUAUUAGCAGAAGAUGGCAAUUUGUGAUUUUCAUAUGAUUUAAACCAUGCAUCAGAUGGAUUUGGUCCAAUGAACAAAUUUGAGCCUUGCAAGUGUACUACCAUCCCAUAUUUUUUUAGACAUAUUAACAACUGUUUAACCGCUGAUUAGGGGCUGUUUAGGGGCUUAGUAACUGUAGAAAUAGAAAAGCUAGCAACAUCUAAAGUAGCUAGCAACUAGCAGCGUAUAGGCGGCAUCGGUGGGUACGAACAACGGCGGCGCCAACACGCAGCUGGGACGCACGCGAGAGGCAGCGGCUAAGGGCGCGGGCCGGCACGGCUGGGUGCGUGCGCGGGUGUGCAAGGCAGCGGCAGUGAACGGGUAGAGGUGGCCGUGCGCGUUGCAGGGAACGGCCGGAGCAGGCACACGUGCGGCCUCGGGUGAGCUCCGGACGACGGGAGCGCAGCGGCGGGCCUGUGCGGGGUGAGCAGGGGUGCCGUGUAAGCAGUAGGGAGCCGCAUGGGCGAACAAUGAGCGAGGCAGUUGGGGUCGGGCGCGGUCGUGGUGGCGGUGGCCGCGACCACCGGCCGGAACUAGGCGGCACGGGGCGAUGACGGAGAAUGAACGAAGGAGAAGACUAGCAGGGGACGGCAUGAUGCUCACCAGAGGAGCGCAAGAAGGCCCGUUGAUAGGCUUAGUAGCAGCAGAGCAGGGGGUCGAAGCGACGAGGUUUCGGCGACCACGGGUGUUGACGGAGACGACGAGGCCGUUGCACUGCUCCCCGAGACGAAGCAGAGUACCAGCUCGACGAAGACGAGGGAGGCGAAGCUCAUGGACACAAGCUAUGGGUGAGAAAACGCCGGUGGCCGCGGGAUCGUGGAGUGCAUGGUGACGGCGGGGUGCGGCCGCGAUGGAUCUAGGGCAGGAGAAGAGGAGAGAAGGGCAAGCGAGCGAGUAAGAGAGGAGGGGAUAUUUUGGGGGCCACGGUGGCCUCCUUAUCUCCUCCCGCGGCGCUGUAGCAGCGUGGCCGACGAGGUGGCUCGGCGGCAACGCGCGGCGCGGGUCUCGGUUGGCUGAACAGGGAAGGGAAAGACGACAGCGGAGGAGUUGGGCCAGCUCAGGUGGGCCGGCGCAGGGGGUUAGGCCCAUGAGGGCUUGGGGCCUUUUUCCAUUUUAUUCAUUUUCUUGUUUUGUUUCUCUGCUUUCUUUUAUUGCUUUAAUUUAGACUUUAGCUUUACAAAAUAUAGGAAUAACACCUAAAUUGGUUUUACUAAUUAUACCAUUGCCACAUUUAGUGAGGUUCAAAUAAAAUAGUUUAGUAUCUUUAUAAAAAACAUUUAUAUAAUUGUUUUAGCCAGUGUUUUAGUUAGUUUAGGGUAUUUAAACACUUUACAAAAGUGUUGGGUCACCACCAUAUUUAGUUAUGAAAUAUUUGCCACAGUUUGCGCAUUUUAUUUUGCAUGUUUGAGAAAUUUGAAUUUUGGACUUUUAUUUUAAGUUUGAAUUUGAAUUGUUAUUUUGAUCAAUCGCGGAUUAGUAACAGUAAUGUGGUGACAUGGCACCAUUAAUGAGGGUUUACUGUAGCUUAAUUAUCCGGGCAUCACAAUUCUCCUCCACUACAAGAAAUCUCGUCCCGAGAUUUAAGGGGUGGAGUAAGGGGGAAAGACUCGGGAAGGACGGAGCUCAACACAAGAUAGGUACCUGGGGGAUGUUUCGAUGAACGUGGCAUAGAGACAUCUCUCGAGUUGAAAUUCAAGAAAGUCAUCGAGAGCAAGGUAAGAAGGAGCAACAAGAAGCUUCAACCGGGUAGGCAACCGUUCGUUCCCUGAAACAAAGGGUGAAAACGGUUCUUAGCAAUGGGAAUAAGUAUUGCAUCUGAUACCAGAACAGAUCACAAGGAAGGUGGCUCGCGAAUUACAUACGAAACCAAGUGUGAGAAACAAUUUUAGAAGACAAAGAUGUAAAGGAGAGUCAGGUUUCGUUCCUGUGGAACUGUGGGUUAUGGGCCCACCAUGUGGGUUAAAAGAAAGAAGGCAUUACAUUUUGCACGGUCAUGAUAGCAAGGCAGGUCAGAGGACAACCUGUCAGUUAUGUUGGUAACAACAUUGGUACCAAGGGCGAGGGACGAAGAGAACCAUUUUCCUGCUCGUUAAGACGAGGCAGACCAAUAGGCAAAGUUCUUGUCCAUCGAUGGCUACUAGAAUGUCAUCAAUAAUAGUAACAAGGUCUUACUGACAGAGUUUGUACACCAAAGUGUUUACAUAAGCAGGGAAUUAUCACUGCUCAGAUAUGUUAGUUCACAAGUAGGGUUAAACAAAGCAAUGGAGACCUGAAUCAAUUACCGGUGUUCUCGAGUGUUUAACAACGCAGAACCCGUGGAAAAUUUGAAUCGGCAAGAAUAAUAGUUGAUGAAAAACUCACAAGAAGUUAUGUAGUUCCGUGAUAUUCUCGAGAUACCAGAGGGUAACACUCGAGGGUAUAGCAGAACAGAGGUUGGACGGGCGAAAUGAACUACAGAAGACAAGUACUUACACUUGUCUGAGAAAUGAAAUCAAAGAAGAAAAGUCAUGGUUGGAACCACGGUUGCAAAGGACCAAAUAUAGAUAACAGAUAAACUUACCACAAGGGGAUUAUUAUUAUAACAAGAAGCUUCCAUGAUAAGUUCCACAUCAGGUCCAUGGGCAUGAACACGAGGUUCAAGGUCGACUCCCAUUUCUCUAAUACAUAACUUUUCAUUCACUUCUCACUUUCUGUGAAGUUGUAGUGUUGAUAUUUUAUCUGGCAAAACACCAGAAGAGUAAGACUCAUGAAGACUCUCGGGUUCAAACAGAUUAGGGAAGGCGUAGGUUCAACCCAUAGAGGCAUCUUAGGAACCUUUCCCACAAACUUCAGGAGUAAAAUAUCAAUCCCGAGAGUAGAGCAUGGUUGAGGAAGCAUAAGAUACAAUUUACCAAAGGCAUUAUGUAUCCGAGGAAAAGCUCACAAGGUUAUUGUAUAUGAAGGACGCUGUCGGAUAGAACCCCACAAAGGAUCUGGUGGUUCACACGGGAUCUGAUGUGAGCAUCAUUACUCAACCAAAAGUAGAAAGAAUGCAAGGAUAUCAGAUUAUAGAAGCAACUGACUCAUUCAGAGUUGAAAUGCAAAGGAAUUACGAUUUCCAAAAUCAAGGGAUCAGAAGCAAACGCUCUGACCAAGGAUGGUUAAGUUGAAUAGAUAUAGGGCACAAUCGAUGGCAAUCUGAUAGGCCGAGAACCAGCUCAUGUUCGGGAAGACGUCUGAGCGGGAAAGAUAAUCUAUAAGGAUCAACUAAUGAUUAUGACACAGACAUAUCAAAUCGAAAGACUCACGAUGAUAAUGACAAAGGACAUCAAUGGAUACUGCUAGGCAUAUGGAAUUAGUCAGAGUGUAGGUAGGUAAGACUUUCUAGAGCAAUAGGCGACAGAGGUCAUCGAAAGCUCGGAUUGUGUUACCAAAUAUCUUAUGAAGCAUAAGAAUAACCAGGGUGAAUGGAUACUCGAUAAGAGCGAGUAAUUAUCCAAAAGGGUAUUCAUGCGGCAAGGACUCCAGGGCAGUAAGCAUAAAGGAUCCUCGGAACAUCGAAGAGUAUUUUAGGACAUCUUAAUAACAAGAGCACCUGGGGAUGAAGGUAUGAACGACAUCGUAGGUAGUUAUGCAUAAGGAUUUAUCGGUGGUAGGGAUUGCAACGACGAAGACACAAGGGUCUCGGGAAAACUUCGGAGACUAUCUUCAGGAUCUUCUAGUGCACCAAGCAAUCGUCUGGAGUGAGGGGCUCUCCGGGAGAAAGUGUUAUGAGAACCUAGAGUUGGAGUUAACAAAAUUGUUUAACCCGAAUAGAAGAAAGAUCAGAAUCCCAGAGUAUAGACGAGGAGUAAAAGAUCCUAAUACCACCCAAUUUGGCGACGUGGGCCCGUAAGCCACACAGCCAUGUUAGUAAAACCGUUUUUCAAAGACUAGACUCAACUUCAGCCAAGGAGUUGGAAAGGGGGAUCCUAUAGGCAGUCGGCUCUCAUACCAACUUGUGACGCCCCCGAUUCAAUUGUACACUAAUCAUACACGCAAAUGUGUACGAUCAAGAUCAGGGACUCACGGGAAGAUAUCACAACACAACUCUAGACACAAAUAAAAUAAUACAAGCUUUAUAUUACAAGCCAGGGGCCUCGAGGGCUCGAAUACAAAAUCUCGAUACACAAGAGUCGGCGGAAGCAACAAUAUCUGAGUACAGACAUAAGUUAAACAAGACUGCCUUAAGAAGGCUAGCACAAAAGCAACACGAUCGAAGAGACAAGGCCUCCUGCCUGGGAGCUCCUAACUACUCCUGGACGUCAGCGGUCUUCAUGUAGUAGCAUCCAUAGGUGGUGGCAUCUGGCUCCAAAGAUCCAUCAUCUGGUUGCAUCAACCGGGAAGAAGAAAGAAGGGGGAAAUGGGUAGCAAAGCAACCGUGAGUACUCGUCCAAAGUACUCGCAAGCAUCAGAUCUAUACUAAGUAUGCAUAGGUAUCAAAUGGAAGGUUUGUAUCUAUGGACUGAACUGCAGAAUGCCAGAAUAGAGGGGAAGGCCUAGCCUAUCGAAGACGAGCAUCUUCAAGCAGCUUCAAGCAUCUUGCAACAUGUAGAAGAGUAAAGAAUUGCAGUUUAUAAUUAACAAACAUGUUGUAACAUUAACGCCCAGAGAUCCUUCCUCGACUCCCUGCGAGAAAGCAAUCCCGGAGCCACAUAUUCAAGUAUCCAUUUGUAGUUGUAUAGGAUCAGGAUAUAAGUCUGGACGUCCAUUACCGUGGACACGGUAUUCGAAUAUAUAACUUCCCCGCAGGGGUGCACCACGUUACCCAACACGCUCGAUCACUCUGGUCGGACACACCUUUCUGGGGUCAAUGCCCACCCUCGGAAGAUCAACACGUCGCAGCCCUACCUAGGCUCAACAGAGAGGUCCCCGUCGGUCUAUAUCCUAAGCACUCCGGGGUCUUGGGCCCAUCGCCCGCAGCACUCCGGGUCGUUGCGAGCAGGGUGGAUACCAGCACCACCUCGGAUGGCCAGCAUGAUCCGACCGUGCCGCACUGCUGAACUGGACAUCUGACAAAGCUUCGGCUGAUACUGCGACAUUGAGGCCCAUAUCUUUUCUCGCGUGGUGGUUAGUGCGUAAAGGCCAGAGGCCAACUCAGAACAAAUACCCAAACCAUAGUGUAUUAUUAGCUUGCGGAGUCGAGCAGAGACUCACAAUCGAAAGUGACCCCGUCGCCCCGUCUUGUGGACUUACGACAAGGGCCUAGAAUGCCCGGCCGUGCCACGUAACCAUCUUGCAGGUGCUCUCCGGGCCCACCCGACUUUCACCAAGGUCUCAAGUAAAGUUAUUGUAACCGUGUGUCCAAACAUCAAGGGGAAAGUCCGAGGAAUCACCCAUGGAGGAUUCCACUCGAUGUAAUCAUCAAGGUGAACGUAAGAGGGACCACCCUCGAGGUUCACACUUGAGGUGUUGAAUGAUAGAGCCGUAUCGGGAAUGGUGAAAGAGGAAAUCACCCUCGAUGAUCACGACCGAAUAGCUACACUACAGAAUUAUCAUCAGGAGUGCGUUAUGAGGGAUCACCCUCGGCACUCGACAAUAGCUUUGUAGAGUCGAGCAACAAAACGGGCGUGAUGUGAUGUGAGGUGUCGGGCUAUGGUCGUCGAUCACGCUGAUCGAGUCAUCGAUGAUGAAGCAGGGGCAACAAGGACAAGGUGGGGGUCACCGAUGGAUCACUAACCAACCUAUACUAAGCAGUUUAGGAUAAGCGGGUAGGUAACAAUAGUAGGUACAAAAGCAGGCUAUGCAUCAGUAUAGGAGCAAACAAUAACAUUAGCAAAAUCUAAUGCAAGCAUGAGUGUAUAGAAUGGGCGAUAUCAGGAUGAUCAAAGGGGGGGCUUGCCUGGUUGCUCAGACAAGGAGGGUCGUCGUCGACGUAGUCGAUCACAGGGGCAUCAGCAGCGGUCUCGGGGUCUACGAGAGAAAAGAGGGGGAAGAAACAGUAAAUACAUAGCAGGCAAGUGCAUAACAAGACAAUAAGCGAGGCUAGAAGUGUUCUACGCAGUGCUAGGCGGUACUGGCGAAGGGGGAAACAUCCGGGAAAGUUUUUCCGGUUCCGGACGUCUGUCAGACAGAUGAACCGGAGGGGAAAGGUUGCAUGUUCACUAUGCUAGGGACGUGUGGCGGGUGAACAGACCGCGGAGUCGGAUUCGUCUCGUCGUUCUGAGCAACUUUCAUGUAGAAAACUUUUUCAUCCGAGUUACAGAUUAUCUUAAAUUAAAUUUCUAAGUUUAACACAUUUUCCCGAAAUUCUGGAUUUAUUAUAAUUCAAAAAUAAAAAUAGGAUAUACUUAUUAUACCUACUGUCAUAGUGGAUGAUAGGUGGGACCAAGGAGGGUCUAGUUGACUCAGUAAAUAGUCAAUAGUCAACUGUUUGACUGUUGACUGGUCAAAACUGCCGCUAGGGUCCAGGUGUCAUUCUCACAUAUUCAACCUUUUCUUUUUAAGUGGAUAUAGACUAGUAUUUUAAUAGGUUUAUUUAACUAGCCAAAUUAGCAGUGGGGACCCACAAGUCAUCUGGACAUAGACUAAUCAAGCUACUAAUUAAUCCUUCUAGCUAAACCUAGUACUAACAAGGGCCGACCACUACUGGGCAGAACCCAGCCGGUCACACGCACAGACACACACACAACACACAACACAGGGAGAAGUUAAAUAUGUUCUCUGUUAGCAGAAGAUGGCAAUUUGUGAUUUUCAUAUGAUUUAAACCAUGCAUCAGAUGGAUUUGGUCCAAUGAACAAAUUUGAGCCUUGUCAAGUGUACUACCAUCCCACAUUUUUUUAGACAUAUUAACAACUAUUUAACCGCUGAUUAGGGGAUGUUUAGGGUCUUAGUCAUUGUAGAAAUAGAAAAGCUAGCAACAUCUAUAGUAGAUAGCAACUAGCAGCGUAUAGGCAGCAUCGGUGGGUACCAACAGCGGCGGCACCAACACGCAGCUGGGACGCGCGCGAGAGGCAGCGGUGAAGGGCGCAGGCCGGCACGGCUAGGUACGUGCGCGGGUGUGCAAGGCAGCGGCAGUGAACGGGUAGAGGCGGGCGUGCGCAUUGCAGGGAACGGCCGGAGCAGGCACACGUGCGGCCUCGGGUGAGCCCCGGACGACGGGACCGCAGCGGCGGGCCUGUGCACGGUGAGCAGGGGUGCCGUGUACGCAGUAGGGAGCCGCAUGGGCGAACUACGCGCGAGGCAGUUGGGGUCGGGCGCGGUCGCGGUGGCGGUGGCCGCGACCACCGGCCGGAACUAGGCGGCACGGGGCGACGACGGAGAACGAACGAAGGAGAAGACUAGCAGGGGGACGGCAUGAUGCUCACCAGAGGAGCGCAAGAAGGCCCGUUGAUAGGCUUAGUAGCAGCAGAGCAGGGGGUCGAAGCGACGAGGUUCCGGUGACCGCGGGUGUUGACGGAGAUGGCGAGGCCGUUGCACUGCUCCCCGAGACGAAGCAGAGUACCAGCUCGAGGGAGACGAGGGAGGCGGAGCUCAUGGACAUGAGCUAUGGGUGAGAAAACGCCGGUGGCCGCGGGAUCGUGGAGUGCACGGUGACGGCGGGGCACGGCCGCGAUGGAUCUGGGGCAGGGGAAGAGGAGAGAAGGGCAAGCGAGCAAGUAAGAGAGGAGGGGA